CUCUCUCUCUCUCUCUCUCUCUUCUUUUUCUCCACAAACUCGUUAAAGAAUAUAUAUAUAAUAUCGCCAAUAAUAUCAGAUAUGAAGUUUAUAGAAUUAGGGUAUUAGAUUUUGCAACUUCAAAACUUUUGUACAGGUGUGAAUUAUUUUAUUCUUGUAUUGCUCUGGAUCCCUAAAUUGAUACAGGGCCGGCCCUGGCCCAAGGCGACCAGGCGAUUGCCUUGGGCCUCAGAUUUUAAAGGGCCUCAAAUUUUGAGGCCCAUAGGGGAUGGAAAAAUAAAAUAAAAAUAAGUUAGGGCAAGUUUCAGACGACACAAUCUGCUUCGACACUCCACAGGGCUAUCGCCUCCGCUAUCGCCUCAGGUGACAAGGGGUUCUGGAUAUAUGACGGAGGCUCAAUCUUGUGAGAAUGCUUCUCCUGGCACCCGGGUUAAAGCUACAUUUGUCCUUGGAUCAGAAACAUAUCCUGUUCAUGUAAACAAAGGAAUUCUUUCUGAGCAAUUGGUUUCAAUGAAGGAAGAGAGCAUGAGCGUACUGAAGGACUUCAUCACCAAACAUAAUGUUCCAAAUGAUGUCCCCGAUGAACCAGAGGAAAUCUCUUCAGAAGAUGAUGGUGAAAUCCCUGAAAAAGUUCAUGUGAAGUCGAAAAAGAGGAAAUAAUUUCUUUUUCCUCCCGUAGACGCACAUUUAAAUUCCAGGAAAUGUAAUAGACUGCAUAAAAUUCAGUGUCAAGCAUGUUACUCCAUUAACAAUUUAUACGCUCUUUCCUUGCUAUAUUUUAUUUUUAUUCUUCC